GACGAACGCUGGCGGCGUGCUUAACACAUGCAAGUCGAACGGAAAGGCCCUUCGGGGUACUCGAGUGGCGAACGGGUGAGUAACACGUGGGUGAUCUGCCCUGCACUUUGGGAUAAGCCUGGGAAACUGGGUCUAAUACCGAAUAGGACCACGGCCUUCAUGGGUUGUGGUGGAAAGCUUUUGCGGUGUGGGAUGGGCCCGCGGCCUAUCAGCUUGUUGGUGGGGUAAUGGCCUACCAAGGCGACGACGGGUAGCCGGCCUGAGAGGGUGAUCGGCCACACUGGGGCUGGGACACGGCCCAGACUCCUGAGGGGGGCAGCAGUGGGGAAUAUUGCACAAUGGGCGCAAGCCUGAUGCAGGGGCGCCGCGUGAGGGAUGACGGCCUUCGGGUUGUAAACCUCUUUCACCAGGGACGAAGCGUGAGUGACGGUACCUGGAGAAGAAGCACCGGCCAACUACGUGCCAGCCGCCGCCGUAAUAC
rnacentral:rRNA from 1 species